GAUGAAGAACGCAGCGAAAUGCGAUAAGUAAUGUGAAUUGCAGAAUUCAGUGAAUCAUCGAAUCUUUGAACGCACCUUGCACCCUUUGGCAUUCUGAAGGGUAUGCUCGUUUGAGUGUCAUUGUACUCUCACACUCCCGAUCUUUGCAUUGGGAGCAGUGGACUUGGGUUUGCUGCUUCACCGUCGCUUACCUCAAAUAGGUUAGUGCAACUCUUGGUUGGACAUAGUACGGCGUGAUAAGUGUUCUUCGCCGGUGCCUCGCAAAGAGGGUGGCCGAUCGGCAUGUUGUGCUCCAAACCGUCUUCGGACAAUCUCUGACGACUUGACCUCAAAUCGAGUAAGACUACCCGCUGAACUUAAGCAUAUCAAUAAGCGGAGGA
rnacentral:misc_RNA from 1 species